rnacentral:rRNA from 1 species
GAUCUGGCUCAGAUUGAACGCUGGCGGCAUGCCUUACACAUGCAAGUCGAACGGUAACAGGUCUUCGGACGCUGACGAGUGGCGAACGGGUGAGUAAUACAUCGGAACGUGCCCAGUCGUGGGGGGAUAACUACUCGAAAGAGUAGCUAAUACCGCAUACGAUCUGAGGAUGAAAGCGGGGGACCUUCGGGCCUCGCGCGAUUGGAGCGGCCGAUGGCAGAUUAGGUAGUUGGUGGGAUAAAAGCUU